UGCGGGAUGACGGCCUUCGGGUUGUAAACCGCUUUCAGCAGGGAAGAAGCGAAAGUGACGGUACCUGCAGAAGAAGUACCGGCUAACUACGUGCCAGCAGCCGCGGUAAUACGUAGGGUACGAGCGUUGUCCGGAAUUAUUGGGCGUAAAGAGCUCGUAGGUGGUUGGUCACGUCUGCUGUGGAAACGCAACGCUUAACGUUGCGCGUGCAGUGGGUACGGGCUGACUAGAGUGCAGUAGGGGAGUCUGGAAUUCCUGGUGUAGCGGUGAAAUGCGCAGAUAUCAGGAGGAACACCGGUGGCGAAGGCGGGACUCUGGGCUGUAACUGACACUGAGGAGCGAAAGCAUGGGGAGCGAACAGGAUUAGAUACCCUGGUAGUCCAUGCCGUAAACGUUGGGCACUAGGUGUGGGGGACAUUCCACGUUCUCCGCGCCGUAGCUAACGCAUUAAGUGCCCCGCCUGGGGAGUACGGUCGCAAGGCUAAAACUCAAAGGAAUUGACGGGGGCCCGCACAAGCGGCGGAGCAUGCGGAUUAAUUCGAUGCAACGCGAAGAACCUUACCAAGGCUUGACAUACACCAGACCGGCCUGGAAACAGGUCUUCCCCUUUGGGGUUGGUGUACAGGUGGUGCAUGGUUGUCGUCAGCUCGUGUCGUGAGAUGUUGGGUUAAGUCCCGCAACGAGCGCAACCCUCGUUCUAUGUUGCCAGCACGUGAUGGUGGGAACUCAUAGGAGACUGCCGGGGUCAACUCGGAGGAAGGUGGGGAUGACGUCAAAUCAUCAUGCCCUUUAUGUCUUGGGCUUCACGCAUGCUACAAUGGCUGGUACAAAGAGAAGCGAACCCGUGAGGGUCAGCGAAUCCCUUAAAGCCAGUCUCAGUUCGGAUCGUAGUCUGCAAUUCGACUA
rnacentral:rRNA from 1 species